AAACAAAAGUGACAUUACAAUAACUCAACUACAAUUCAUCUAAUCAUUUAUUCUGUUGGAGGUUAGAAUUUGUCAAAUUUGGUAACUGCAAUACAGUCGUCCCUCGCUUAUCGCGGUUAAUAGAGGGGUUUCGAUUAUUUGUACAUUUCCCACAAUGCAUUGCCGAUAUCCAUUAAGGGCGGAAGUUAGUGAAAAGCUCAUUGUUUCCGAUGAUAUGUCCAAUAAUAUUCAUAAUGCAGACGAGGUGGAAGGAAUAAAACACCAGGUAGAAGGAGUAAAACUAGCUUGUAUCGCAUUCCUAAGCGUAUUUCUGGACGAACGGAAGCGGCUGAAAAGAAAAGUUAACGGCGAAGACGAGCGUGGAUUGCUACAAUAAACCGAGACGUGACGUGCUGAAGACUUCGUGUUUGUUCGGAUCAUUUCAGUGAAUCUACACAACUCUGCCUCUACACUACUGGUCGAGACGGAUGGCCACCCCAUCAAGCCUGCGUUUCUUCCCACAGGCUUGUUGGUCAACAUGCAGCCUUGUACUCACCCACACUGCGUUUACUGGGGUCCAAAUACUCCACUGAGUAUGUCUGGCCAAAUCCAGGGACGCUGAUGUUUACGCCAGGUGGUGAUGAGGUGGUGUGUGUGGUCCGGUUGUAGAUCAGCCUUUACAUAAAAAAACAGGUCUGUUUGUCCAAUAAAGAUGGCUGGCUAAUGGUUCAAAGACUCAACAAGGUCAUCAAAUCCAUCCACCUCAUAGUCCGUAAACAACAUGACUUGACCCCACUUCUUCGAACUAUUCAAACAUCAAGUAAAGAGGAAUACAAUGUGAAGUUAUGAUGGGGCUGCCUCGUAGAAUUUCGGUUCCCACUUCGCUGACUCUUGAUUAGGAGCAGCAUCGACUAUUGUAUAUAUCCAUUCAAAUGUUACCCUCAGACCAUGAGACAAAAACUGACACCUGUAUUUGAUGAGUGAUUUUACUAUGGCCAGCCACUCGGUUCUAGUAGGGUAAUCCCUCAUGAUGGGGAUUUUUAAAGCUAGUCCCUCCAGGGAUAAGUAUUUGAUUACAUUUGUGUGGCCCCUAUGCCAUACCUUAUGUUGUCUAUCCAGCAGUCAAUGGCGACAGGCACCAGCUGCUCCAGGUUGAGCCACAAAGUGAAGAAGGCGGCUGUCUUCUUGUAACAGAUGUAAUGAACCACGCUGGGUUUAUCCAGCUUCGCCUCCAGCUGGUUUCCCAGGUCUCCAGGAACUGUAACAAUGUAACAAGUAAACAUUUUAAUAAAAAGACACAC